GCAUAUCAAUAAGCGGAGGAAAAGAUAAACAUCAGGAUUCCGUAGUACGGCGAGUGAACCGGGAAGAGCUCAAAUUUGAAAUCUGGCAGUCUUCGAUUGUCCGAGUUGUAAUCUAUAGAAGCGUUUUCCGUGCUGAACUGUGUAUAAGUCCCUUGGAACAGGGUAUCAAAGAGGGUGACAAUCCCGUACUUUACACAAUCAUCAGUGCUCUGUGAUACGUUCUCUACGAGUCGAGUUGUUUGGGAAUGCAGCUCAAAAUGGGUGGUAAAUUCCAUCUAAAGCUAAAUAUUGGCGAGAGACCGAUAGCGAACAAGUACCGUGAGGGAAAGAUGAAAAGCACUUUGGAAAGAGAGUUAAACAGUACGUGAAAUUGUUGAAAGGGAAACGAACGCUACGUAUCAUGUUUAUUGGACUCAGCCGAUCUUCGGUGUACUUCCUUUAAACGGGUCAACAUCAGUUUUGUCCGAUGGAUAAAGGUAGUAGGAAGGUGGCUCUCUCGGGAGUGUUAUAGCCUAUUGCCGCAUACAUUGGAUGAGACUGAGGACUGCAGCUUGCCUUUAUGGCCGGGGUUCGCCCACGUUCAAGCUUAGGAUGUUGACAUAUACUCGAGCGCACGCCCCGUCUUGAAACACGGACC
rnacentral:rRNA from 1 species